rnacentral:rRNA from 1 species
CACACAGCUCAGUAACACGUGGCUAACCUGCCCUUGGGACAGAGACACCCCCGGGAAACUGGGGCUAAUCCCUGAUAGGCGAAGGACUCUGGAAUGAGUCUUCACUCAAAAGGCGUUUAGAUCAUGCUUUUAGGCGCUGCCCAAGGAUGGGGCCGCGACCGAUCAGGUUGUUGGUGAGGUAAUGGCUCACCAAGCCUACUACCGGUGCGGGCCGUGAGAGCGGGAGCCCGGAGAUGGGCACUGAGACAAGGGCCCAGGCCCUACGGGGCGCACCAGUCACAAAACCUUCGAAAU